GCCCCUAUGGCGUAGUGGUAGCGCGUGUGACUUGUACACGCCAACGCAAUUUUAAGCGUUGACAGAAUUCCACCGAUUCGGCUGCGAUGCACAAUCACAAGGUCACUAGUUCAAACCUGGUUGGGGGCA